ensembl:lncRNA
CUUAUUUUAUUAUAUAAUUGAUAAGAAAUAUAGCCUAGGAAGCCUAGACAGUGGAAGUGACUUCUACAGGAAAUAUUUCACUAAGAGACAGCUACAUGGGAACUGGAAGCAGAAAACUGAGUUACGAAUUAAAUAGAUUGAUAAAAAAAGAACAGGUUUUGUGGCUGGUCUGUGUGGCAGAAGGAGCAGUGCUCAUGGGCUGGGAAAUGGGUUUCUCCAACAGCAACAGCAUGCAGAGUAACAUGCAUGAAGCGUCACAGCAUGAAGCGUCUACCAGGAGCAAGAUCCAACACCCGAUCCAUAAGCCUGCUUUCCUGGAGUGUUGCAGCCUGAACGACCUUUCUCUCAUCCCAGUCCAUCAGCAGUGAUAACUCUGAACUGUGUGCAGAAGCCGUUAUGCUGUUGGUGCAUAGCUGCUGCCCCAGGAGGGGCCGCCUGCAGGCUCACUGCAGCUCUGCUCAUGUCCCACAGUCGACUGCUCAGGAGUGAGGUUGCUCCACCCCAUCAUCAAGGGUGCCCAGCACCAGAGAGAGCUCAGGCUGGGAGCAGAACAGAUGCAUUUUGCAGCCCUCCUUCACACCGCACAGAACCGAGCAGACACCAAGAGCCUAACCCAGAAAGCAACGAUGCUUGGGAGCAUCAGGAGUGCUCCUGUGAAUCAGAGCAAAGCACAGAGAGCUCACUCUCCUUCCCUGCAGAUGUGACAAGCAACUCUGCAAAACUGAGAGAAUUCCUGGUAAUUUGUGUAACCAGCUGACACCCACUGACGAUGCUUUUCUCGGUGUUGCUGCUUGACCCUAUUCUACGUACCUCACUGCUGAAUGCCCAACCAGCCUGAGCUUUCAUUGUCUUCAGAGCUGGGCAUGCAGCGAACAAAGGCACUCAGGUAAAGACAGACCUUUUUGCUAGAGAAAAUUCUUUAAUUUGCUUUAGCAUGUGAAAGCCACCACUGAGCACUGGGCACAUCACAAGGAUGUCAGUAACAGCAGAACGCCUGCCUGCAGUAAGUGGUGAAUUAAACCUGUGCAAGCCAGCCGCUCUCCAUGACACACACCCCGGUAUUUUGUAAUUGCAGCGCAAAUUGCUUCCCAAGGAGAUCGUGUUCAGCUCUCAGCUUCUGCAGUGACACUCCUGAAGGGGUGAAGUCCUUUGUACUUAUCAUUAAAACCCAGCGAUCUAUACAAAUCACUUCCCAACAUGGCACUCACUCUUUUUAUCUGAGGCAGAUAACUGGCGCAUCCCGGAGAAGCUUCAGCUUGCAUCUGGGUGACAGAUAAGAAAUUCCAUCGGACAGGUUUCCCUUGUGAUAGACAGAAGUAAUAUCUCUGGCAGCAGGAGUGCUCAACCAUGUAAGUCUCUAUAAAGUUAACAGUUUGGGAGUAAACAGCCUUUUAUGCAGGAGGAGAUGUAAGGAAAUACUGCUCUGCUCACGCUCUGCCAUUGAGUUAAGGUUCCAGGCACAGCAGAAGGCUGCUCCAAGGCGGAUGCUUGAAAACGGACCUGGAAAAGUGUGUGUGAGCUGGAAUUGUCUGGAGGGUAUUUGAGAGACCCAUUCAUUUCAUAGGAAAAGUUCCAUUCCAGUAAAAUUGUCCACUCAUAUUUGAUGAAGGAGAGGAAAGGAGCAGCUGCCGUUAUUCCCUGGAGAAGUUGCUUUGCAGAUCCCCAAUUUUGGAAAGCUACAGAUGGAAGUGGUUCUGAUUAGCCCCAAGCAGGUAUUUACAAGAAUCACUUCCAGUCCAUAUUGCCAGGAGAGGAUCUGGAAAGGCCACAGGGACUGCAGAUGGAAACCCCACUGCCCAGGGCUGCUCUGCUCUGCGCAGCAGGCAGUGAGGGGGAGGCAUGAAAGCCCGGUGGAGAAGCUGAGCACAGACGGUGCUAGGAAACGAGGCAGGGCACAGGGUGCUGAUGCUGGUGGCAAACGCGUACCAAACCGACUCUGCUCUGACGUCUGUGUGAUGGUGAAGAGUCGAAAUGUUGCACUUCAGUGAUUCUCCAGACCAUGCCUGUACUGGGGAAUAAAUUCAGGUACAGUGAGGAGGAAAACACCACAAAUGUCACAAGAAGAAUUUGUGUGAAUCCUGGCAACCCUGCAUGAGCUCUAUGGGUGUGAGAACGUGUCGGAGAUCCCUGCUGCCAGAGCUCCUGACUGUCACUGCUACCAACUGGCACAGCACCAGGUAUCAGUGGUAGAAAUGUUUAUUUGUUACAGAGAACAUAAAAGUCUUUCUUUGGAAGAAUCAAAAAAGAAAUAGUGUCUCAUCUCCUACUUCUGUAGCCUCUUUGGGGUCAAGGCUUAGCUCAAAAGCUCUUUUGUUGAGUUUUCCCUGUGAUUCUGGCAGCAUUUUUCUCUUUCCUUUUCUGUCUCCAGCUUCAAACCCAGCAGCUUGCACAUGUGCUUCUUCCUCAUCCUUUGUUUUUUGUUGGUAAAUUUAUCUUUAGAUGGGAAUACGCCGUCAGCUCCACUACCUUGCUCAAUCAAGGAAACCAACCAGCCUGGAGGUAAGGCAACGGUAAUUCCAGUGAGCACAAAGUCUCUUAAUAGGUAAGAAACAAACAUGACAAAAUGAAAAGGAUGCAUAGUAACGGAGAAAUUAAAAUGAAAAAGAUCAGCUUUUACACCAAAUAAUCAUUGUGUAGAUCAGAAGUGUUAAAUAUAUAGUGCACAGCACUACAAAUCCACUCGCAGUGAUAAAAAAAAUUUAAGGGCUGUUAAAACCCAUAGCUGUGAUAAAUGCUCUUUUUAAAUGCAGAAAAAUACAGGAAUCAUCGAUAGCGUUUAUUACCAUUUCUGUAAUAAUCCUUUAAAGUUUCCAGCAGCUACAUCUUCUACUCUGGGAUGCUGUUCUAGGAAACUGCCAUUCCCUGCGGCGGGGAGGCACUGCGACGGGGCCUCUUCAGGGGGAGGAGGGCACGAGUGGGGCGAAGGGCUCUGCUUGCACGUUCCCCUUCCUGCUGUGGGGGUGUCCCUGUGUCCUGGUGUCUGUGUGUCCUGAUGUAUCUACGUCCUGGUGUCCCAGUGUCUUUGUGUCCCUGUGUCCUUAUGUCCCUGUAUCCUGGUGCCCCCCUGUCCUUGUGUCCCUGUGUCCUGAUGUCUCUGUGUCCUUGUGCCUUGUGCCCAGGUACCCCCUGUCCUUGUGUCCCCCCGUCCUGGUGCCCCGUGUCCUGAUGUCUCUGUAUCCUGGUGUCUCUGUGUCCUUGCAUCCCCAUGUCCCUGUGUUCUGGCUCUGCAGAACACAAGGACCAUCUGUAGAGGAGCACGUAGGAGAUGUCACAGCAACCCGCUGCAUUCCCUGGCUUCCCACUGGGCUGCGCACUGCUGGUGGGGAGCUCCUGUCUGCGUGCACCUGUGGCUGCGUGAUGGGGAACGGCUUUGGCUUCAGGAGCAACCCCAGCACAGGCUGGACUCGGGCCAGAUGGGAGCCGGGAACAGCUUUUGUGACAAUGAUGGAUGCGGUGUAGCUGCCGAUGGAUGGAGAGCAGACAUCCCCUUGUAUCCUUCCAGACCACUCCAGCAUUCAGUCCUGUGCUACCAUCCUGCCUGAAGGAAGAUGGAUCCAGGAAUACAACAACUGCAGGGUACUUUGCACAAUGCCACGGAUCAUGCCAUACCUGCACCUGAUGCACAAGCAUCACUUUGGGACUCAGUCCGGGGGAAAAGGCCUCUGAUUUACUACUUGAGCCAAAAGUCCUUGCUGUAUGUUGUGGUAUGUUGUGGUAUAUCUCUGGAUGCUAUGUGUGGGACCAGAACAGUGGGCUGUGCCAGCAGCAGGGCAACCCUCAGAGCACUAAGAGAUACUGGAAGAAGGAGGGCAGAAAUCACUUCACCUGAGGGCUUCAGCAUGGGUUGCCAUGCAAAGUGUGGGCUGGAGAACCACAGCUCAGGAAUAAAAGCUGCUGCUGAGAAGCCACAAAACCACCGAGACAAUUCCAGCUGGCAGCUCAGAUCCAUCAACGUCUCAUUAAACAAAUGCCUCCCUUACAAAAGGAAGAGGGGAAAAAACCAAGCUGCGUGUGUUUCUGAGCGGCCAUUUCAGAACAGAGCGCAGGAGUCAGGGAAAAACUGCAAAUGGGAAUUUGCAAACACUGGAGUCGCUGAUGGAGAGCUCUGGCAAAGGCACAGUGCACUGCGAGCAGCAGCUGUAGAGAUGGACAGAGAUUUCCUCAGGUGGAUAAUCCCCUGAGCAGCAAAGGUAAAUUACAGGUGUGUUUGUCAGUGGAGCCCUAUGUGGCUUUCACUUCAUUAUAUCAAACUUGGUGUGCACAUGUGCAUCACUGCCAGGACUGAAAUUUCCCUGUCCCAGACAGUGAGAGGCAUUUUCAGCAGCUACGUUGUGCUGCAGCGCUGCCAGCCCGGGGAGUGUGCUGAGAUGAAUGAUGCCACCUCUCAGUCCUGCUCACAGAGCAGCUGAACUCUGCGUAGGGGCUGCAAAUAGGUGCAGGCAGGAGUGGAUGUAGGAUGGGAAGCUCUCACCUCUCAACCCUCAGCUGAGACUCAGCAGCCGGGGAGCUCAGUGCUUGCAGCUGCUGCUCUGCAAAGUAAGCAGAGGAACCCUUUCCAGCAGCAGGCUGAGCUGAUCUCAGCUGCUCCAAUGGGGCAGUGGUGUGGGGAGGUGGGCUGCACCCCAGUAAUAGUGGGGACCCCAGGAAGGAUGCUCAUGCAUCCAUGCGGUGCUGGUGGCUUGCUGGGCAUGACAGAUAGGAGCAACCUUCAAACCCUUACAUCCCACUUGGGGUCCAGAGGGCCUCAGGAUACCCCACCAGUUUCAGAAAGCCAUGGGGGCAAUCCCCAGCAAGAAACAGCAAUGGAACGCUCUGGCAAUGCCACCUCCUCUCUUAGCACCUGCAGCCCUUCCACUGGAAAAAAUGAAUGGCUUGUAGGAUACAAUAACAUUAUUAUAAAUCAAGUUGUAUUUCUAUUAUAAUGACGAAGGGAGAACACACUUUCUAUAUGCUAAAUAUAUUCGUGUGGUUAUAUGAUAGUAGCAUUCCUUAAAUUGAUGAUAUUUAUCAGCUGAGGAAAACAAAUUUCUAUAUACAGAAGAAAAUAAUUAAAGGAAAGGGGAGAAUAAUAGCAGCUUCACAGCAGUCAAGUCUGGCAAUGUCUUAAGAGAAAUAUUGAUGUUCUUUUGGAUGCGUGUCAAGUAGAAAUGGAAAGAUAGCAGGGCAAUUUCUUCUGCAGUUAUAACUACAAAGGAUCUUUAAACACUUGCAGUCCUACAUGCCCAGGAUGAAAUUUUGUUUCCAGCAGACUGACUUCUCCUUGCUUUCUCUGAUGGGAAAAAGAAAAAUUGGUUACAAGGGAAUUUUUGUUUAUUUGUCUUUUUGGAACCUGUUGAGUGUCAUCUAUACUCUGCUUAACCUGACAUAUCGCUGCAAAAAAAAAGAGGAAAAAAUACAACCUGCAAGUACAGGAUCAUUGUGGCGAAGCCCAGUGGUGCUGUUACACUUAUUUAAGGAGGCUAUUGGCUUUUCCAUCAUUUCCCCUCUUUUUUUUUUUUUUUUUUUUUUUUCCAGCUGCUGAUGAUCUGGCUGAGAUGUUAGCCUGGGGUGGCACCCGAGUGGGUGGAACAUCCCUAACCCGUGGGCUUGCUUUGCAGAGUAAGGAGUGCAGAGCUGGGAGGGGCUGGAGCACAGCCAUUGCAGCAGCACCCAGCCCAUUUGGACUCAUGGUAGCACCCAAGGCAUGUGGGGGAGGCAUGCAGCACCUCGUUAUCCACCUGCCAGGGCCAGACAGGACGGCUGCAGAGCCACAGGUGUGUGCAGCACUGCUUAUAUAUUCACCUGAUAUAUACACCUCAGAGGUGCUGUACGGGCCUUUAUUACAAUGCUGGCAUAGAGUGCUGUUGUUGCUAAAGCUGUCAGGGCUUAUAUCACUUGAAAAAUAAUUGUCCAGUCUCUGAGGACCUGGGUAGUGCUUAACACAACCGUUUUUCUAGGCCAUAAUAUAAAGCAUGACGUUGAUGUACUGCUACUGCACCUCAUAACUGAAUUCUAGUGCCUGCGUUCCUUGGGUUUAUUAGGGACGUUCAGAUUGAAAUUGCAAAUCUCCAUGCAAAGCUCUCUGCCAUUGCUCCCAGGUGGGGCACCCACAGGGCUCCAGUCUCACCAAUGGCCGUGCUGCUCAGGGGGUGCUCAGGAGCCCGGGUGUGAUGCACAGAGGGUUGCAAGGUAAGCAGGAGGCAGUGGGGAAUAACAAAAGGCUGAUGAAGUUUUCCUGAACUAUGUGUUCUUUUUAAUUCUCGCUUCCUUUAUAGAUGCUCUGAUAAACAGCAAACAGCUUGUUAACAGUAGCAAAAUGGAAAUUUCCCCUGCACAGUAUAAAUUUCAGUGAUAUACACGAAUAUAAAACAGUGUAAAGCUACACUCUUCUUUACAAAAACAAAUGUGCCUCAACAUUGUACAAGAGACACUAAUACAGUACAGCCAUUAAGAAAUAUAUAACGUUGACAUUAAUUGAAGUGAAACGAGGUGUGCUUGGAUGAAUAGAACUCAGGGAAACAGGUAAAUUGUGCUCGUAAGUGAGGGAGGGACUCUGCAAUAGGAUGGCUGUUGUGCAUGGUGUGACUGACAGGUCAUUAUUGCCAUCCCUGGAAACAGCCAUGGGCUCAGCACUGUGUAGCACUGGUCAUAUGCGCCCCUGAAUUGCCUCUGUUGUUUGCUUGUGCAGCUCACACCCUUCUUUCGUACCUGCAUCCUUUUGGUGACAUCACGUUUUUUAGUGUGUUUUACUGCCCAGUACCAUAUAACACAUGGAUCUACUCACCUAAUGAGGCAGUGGUUGUUGGCAUCCCAAUGUAGAGGAGCAUAAUGGCUCGGUGAAGACAUGUUUAUGAACUCUAAUGCAACUUUUGUGGUACGUUUUAUGUAAUUGAAAAAUUAUCAACCUGACAUUAAAACAAGUCUUGGUUUAAGGGAGUGUAUUUUUCGCUAAUGGAUUGCUACAUUUCAUUUCCAUAUCCUUUUUCCAGCAAUUUUGUGUUUAAAUAUCAUUGCCCCUUUGAAUUAUGUAAGGCUUUUUUCACUGUGAUGUUACAGCAAUUUGCCAGCCUCAUGUGUGUAAUUAGUUUAAUUAGCACUACAGCUUUAAUGGGAGCAUUGGCGGCUGCUAUACACGCUCUGUUCUUCACUGGACAAAGUCAAAAGUUGUGUUUCUCAGUCAGCUGCAGCUGAAGAGCUGAGUCCUUCCCAGGCUCUUUGUCCCCAUGUUUUGCCCUUCCAGGGAGCAUCACGUUCUUAAUUUUGGCUGUAAUCCCUGCCUGUGUCCUCUCUCCACUUGGGACACAGGAGUGCACACUGGGCAAGCUCAUUGAACUGGUUUGCUCAGCUGUCAAAGUACAUUCCCUUGGCCUU